rnacentral:rRNA from 1 species
GACGAACGCUGGCGGCGUGCUUAACACAUGCAAGUCGAACGGAAAGGCCCUGCUUUUGUGGGGUGCUCGAGUGGCGAACGGGUGAGUAACACGUGAGUAACCUGCCCUUGACUUUGGGAUAACUUCAGGAAACUGGGGCUAAUACCGGAUAGGAGCUCCUGCUGCAUGGUGGGGGUUGGAAAGUUUCGGCGGUUGGGGAUGGACUCGCGGCUUAUCAGCUUGUUGGUGGGGUAGUGGCUUACCAAGGCUUUGACGGGUAGCCGGCCUGAGAGGGUGACCGGCCACAUUGGGACUGAGGUAAGGCCCAGACUCCUACGGGAGGCAGCAGUGGGGAAUAUUGCACAAUGGGCGGAAGCCUGAUGCAGAAACGCCGCGUGCGGGAUGACGGCCUUAGGGUUGUAAACCGUUUUCGCCUGUGACGAAGCGUGAGUGACGGUAAUGGGUAAAGAAGCACCGGCUAACUACGUG